UUUAUUUAUUUAUUUAUUUAUUUAUUUAUUUAUUUGAUGUAAGUACCCUAUAGCUGUCCUCAGACACUCCAGAAGAGGGCAGAUCUCAUUACAGAUUUUUAGAAAAUAUAUUUUGUUUGCUUCUGAGCUUCUCAAGACCUGAGACAUUGUGUCCUUUUAUCCCCAAGUCCUCCCUGGGCACACUGCCUAAGGCUAGAGACUUUGCUAGUACUCAGGAAUGUAGUGUUGAUAAAAUACUGUUAUCUGGUAAGCUGUUUACAGCCAGUCACUGCCAACUGUCCUCAUUGCUCUUCCUGGUACACCCUCCCGACUUCAGCAUCAUACAGAGCCUGUGCUUGCACCUUAACGCCCUCCCUCCUCUGUGUGUGUAUAUGUGUGUUCAUGUAGGUGUAUGCAUGUUUGUGUGUGUGUGUGUGUGUGUGUGUCUGGGGUGAUGGGGAGGCUGCACACACAGUCUCAUUUGCCACCACAGGAUAUGUGUAGAAGUCAGAGGACAACCCUUCGUGUUGCACUUCACCUUCUGCUUGUUUGGUUUGAGACAGGUCUCUUGUUUCACUGUGCCAGGCUAGCUGGCCUGCACACUUCCCCUUCCAGGGACUCUCGCCUGCCCAUCUCUCAUCUCACCGUAGGAGUGCUGCCAUUACAGGCACUCACUAUGGCUUCCACCUUUAUGUGGGCUCUAGGGCUUGGAACAUAGGUCCCCAUGCUUACACUCUUUCCCCACUGCACCCUCUCACCAUCCCUGGACCCUCUUCUUCUUGAGGAUUUGCCUCAGUUCCCAGAGUCAGGAUGGCGAGACACUGAGCAACCAUGAAGGUGGUGCCCUACAAACCUGUACUGUCCACGCUGAACUGAUCACCCUCCGGGCUUGCGCUCUUGAUCCCAGCAGUCGGGGUCCCAUACGAAAGAGGGAAACUCCCCAUCUGUCUUUCUGAGGCUGAGAUUCAAAAGAGUUCGUAUUUGCCUCCUUUGCAGCGUGCUGGACACAGCCGCUAAGAGCCAACGCAGUGAGAUGUGAGAGGAAAAUGCAGGGGCUUGGGCAAGCCGAGGACCAUUUGGUUUGUACCUGGGAGAUGCUGGAGGGAUGAGGCUGGACUUCAGGGCUUCCUUGUGUGGGGGAAGAAUACUAAGGAGUCAGCCCAAGCCUGAGCCGCUCCCUAUUGCAAGUCACAUUGUGCUGGCUGUGCUGACAGGCUUCCGAGCUGCGGUCUGGGGAGGCUUGACUUGUUUGCAGUGUUGUAGGAUCGAAACGCCGGAUGUAUCUAAAACCCUGCACUCAGGAGGCUUCGGCAGGGGUUCAAGGCCUCCUUACCUGCAGAGUGAAACCCUGAACAUCUAAGGUUCAUCCGCAGCACCCCAAAACAAGCAAGCAGGCUGGGUAGUGGUGGCACACAACCUUAAUUCCAGCACUUGGAAGGCAGAAGGCAGGUGGAACUAUGAGUUUAAGGCCAGCCUGGUCUGCAUAAGGAGUUCCAACACAGCACACAGCCAGGGCUACACAGCAAACCUAUCUCAAAUAAAUAAAUAAAUAAAUAAACAAACAAAUAAAUAAAUAAAGCAAGCAAGGAUGUAAAGGGAGGGAGGGAUGGACGGACGGAAGAGGGAGGGGGAGAGAGAGGGAGAGGGAGGGAGGGAGAGAGAGAGAGAGCGCAAGUGCCCAGGACCCCAUGGAGCUUGGCUUUGCUGGUUUGGAGCUUUGUCUUGUUGGGGAAGACAUUAGAGGAUGACGGCCUGGGGCUGCGUUAUCUUUGUGAGUUUGUUUUACAUCUAAAGAGCAUUUUGCUUUCAUCUAUAUUUGUGCCUCCUAGUCUCUGCAUUUUAUGUGAAGAAAAUGGGUUUCAUGGAUAUGUAGAACAGGAAGAGUUGGGGUCCAGCGGGAAGGCUCACCUGUUAGGAACACUUGUUUUUACAGGGUGUGGGACUGGGUACCAGAAGUUUUCCACGGAGAUCUCUGUCCAGGCCAGGUAGGAAGGUUCCCGAGAAGGGAAGUGAGUCCAGGCAGAGAGAUGAGUCUCUGCCACGCCUUCCAGGUCGCUCCUUAACCGAGCCUCUCUGAACUGAGUCGGGUCAGGCUUGGCCGAUGAGAAGCCGACUAUCCAGUGAGGCGUGCAGUAGGACCUCGGGUGGCUCUUCGGGAGAGAAGAUCUCUUCCCAAGUGUUACAUAGACCUCUUGGAACAAAAGACUCAGAUGAAGGAAUAUUUCUCGCAUACCUUUAAUUCCCUGCAUGGACUUAUAUACAGUUCUGGGGGUGAUUCAGGGUUUGACAGCAGGCACCUCUCAUUGGCUUAGACUGAGAGUUUGGGGGAAACCUUAUUUGCGUGUAGGAAGGCUUGGUGCUGUUCCUACCCAAGUCUCUCCUGUGGGAGCUGUGGGGGCAGUAACUUCGACAGGAGUCAGGGGUCCAGGAGACAGGGGUUAGUUCUAACUCUCAAUCUGCAGGAGACUGCCUCACAAGGCCUACUUAGAGCAUAUGAGACCUCAAAGCCCAACUCCAUAGUCACACACCUCCUCCUCCGAAAAGGCCACACCUCCCAACAGUGCCACUCCCCAUGGACCAAGUAUUCAGAUAACUGAGUCUUUGGGGGCUGUGCCUAUUCAGAUCAUCACAGAUGGGUGCAUGGGUCCCUUCUGGGCUUAGCACAAGUUCACAGGUAGAGAUAACAGACCCGGGGGUGUUGAAGUAUUUUUCUCAGUCCUGUGGUGAGGUAGCAGGGCUGAUAACAUCAAGUCCAUUUGCUCCAAAGCCCCUUUACAAAGGGCAGCUGAGCUAGUCCUUAAAGGAAGGGCUGUGGUGAGGUGCAAUGUCCAGAGCCUGGGUCCAGCAGUGCCAGCUGUAGCUGUAUGUUUUAAAUUACUUCUGAGACAUUUCCGGAUGUCUUUUUCCUCACCCAGUACAUGCAGGGGACAUCUUUCUCAUCGAGUGGUGACGGAGAUGGUUUCGAGUAGGGCACAAGGAGCAUUCUUGGUAUUAUUAGAAACUAAUGGGAGGGGCACUGGGAUGUGGCUCCGUUGGCAGAGUGCUUGCCUCACAUGCACAGAGCCCUGGGUUUAAUCCUCAAUACCACAGAACCAGGUGUGGUGGUGGCAGCUGCCAUCACAGCAUUGGGGAGGUGAAGGCAGGAAAACCAGAAGUUCAGGGUCAUCUUCAGCUACAUAGUGACUCUGAAGCCAAGGACGGUGGCUUGAAGAAAAAUAAAGGAGAAAUAGAUGGCUUGCCCAACUCCAGGCCCAGGAAGCACGCAGACUGUGGUGGUGGGGAGACUGUUGGAUUAGAACAUAGACUGGUGUGCUAAGUGAGUGGGAAAGGAGAAUGGACUUGGGAGCCAGAGGCCAGGCCACUGAGACCCCUGAGAAGCACAUGUAGUGCUCUGCCAAGCUCCCAAAUGGCAGGUGUGUGCACUUUGUUGAUCUAUGGAAAUGUGUUGGGGGCAGGGGGGUGCGGAGAGAAUGCAAAAUAGACUCUCAGACAGACAGCUGUGCAAACACAGCUCUGUUUGGUUCAGGUGAGAGAUCAGAGACGCCUGCACUGCUUGCAGAGCCCUGCUUCAACACUUAGUUAUCUUCUGUAAAUUCCUGGUGAAGACCUGGAGUCAACUGGAGGUCGGGAGGCGGGUUCUUUGGGGCAGCUGAGUCACUGCAGGUUCUUUGUGUUAGGCUUGGGGACAGUCCCCAGGGGCUGGUUCUCUCCUUCCAUUCUGGGUCCCAGAGACCAGCUCAGCUCAGCCCAGGCCACCAGCGUUGGCAGCCAAGCACCUUUACCCUUUGAGACAUCUCACCAGCCCUCAUUUUGGCUUUUUUGGUUGGCUUUUGUUUUGUUUUGACUGGGCCUCACUGUAGCUGAGACUCAUGAUACAGACCGGGAUCACCUGAUAUGUGUGUGGCACGUGCCUGACUCCUUAGUUUGCUUUGAAUUGAGAUUCUUAUUCCGAUGUAGUUGAUCCUCGUCUUUGCUGGUUCUGUAUUUGCAAAUUUGAUCUGUAACUAACAUUGCUUUUGUGGUUGUUCUCAUACAUGCAUAAAGCAGAAAAACAAAAACAACCCUGAAUGGGAACCCCAAAGCAUGCAUUUCUAGCUG
rnacentral:lncRNA from 1 species